GCUUAUGCGUGAGGUCCUCGUGCGUAUGAAUCAUCUGCGAACCUAGGAUCAAGAUGGUAAUGGGAGUGCCUCAAUCUGGAGAGCAAGUAAUGAGACCCUGCGUCUAUUCCUCGGUCUUUGUCAUAGCCUCUCAGGCUGGAAUUUGUUUCUCCAGGUUACAGGUGGCUGACGUAGUAAUUUAACCUCUGCAGCUGAGAGAAGUACAAGCCUCCGGAGAGGUCCAUUUCCUUGGGAACUAUGUACUAGUGCUCAUGAACUAUAGCUUUCUGGAAAUAGUGUUCUGGUUUUUCUACAUCAGAAAAAUGACUUGAUGGUGAAACCUGAGUUUCAGCAAGAA
rnacentral:lncRNA from 1 species